AGCGAUAAGUGGAGCGGUGAAAGGCUCAGUAACGGGCGAUUUAUUUGAUCUCCUGGGACGGACAACAUCGGGAAACUGAUGGGAAAACGUCUAAGUUGCAGUUGUUUUAUUGUGACGUAAACCUUUGUGUGCAGGAGAGUAAGAUGCCAUCCUAUCAGUUAGUAAGUAGGGUAAGGGCCUACUUAGACGAAGACGGGUACGGGGAAUGAGGGUUUGAUUCCGGAGAGGGAGCCUGAGAGAUGGCUACCAGGACCAAGGUCAGCAGCAGGCGCGAAAAUUAUCGAAGCCCGCCUAGGGGCGAUAGUGAGGAGACGUGUAUACGAAGUACGUGUAAAGACCGUACUAAUAACUGGAGGUCAAGUCUGGUGCCAGCAUCCGCGGUAAUUCCAGCUCCAGGGGUGUCUAUGAUGAUUGCUGCGAUUAAAAAGUCCGUAGUCGAGCUGACUGACUGACCUGCAAUGUGAUUGAUUAAAGAACGAGCAGGGUUAGGAAAGCAGAGGAUUAGGAGCGACCGAGGGCUAGAGUAUUGAAUGGCGAGAGGUGAAAUUUGAUGACCCAUUCAGGAGUGACAAAGGCGAAGGCACUAGUCAAGGGCGAAUCCGAUGAUCAAGGACGUAGGCUAGAGUUUCGAAAACGAUUAGAGACCGGAGUAGUUCUAGCAGUAAACUAUGCCGACACCGUGGUAUUAAUUUUAGUAUUGCGGAAGAGAAAUCAAGUAAGGCUUUGGGGAGAGUACGCGCGCAAGCGAUAAAUUUAAAGGAAAUUGACGGAGGAACACCACAAGGAGUGGAGUGUGCGGCUUAAUUUGACUCAACGCGGGACAGCUUACCAGGCCCGAUAAUCGAGCGAGCGUAGUACGCGAUAGGUUAAAAAGUGGUGCAUGGCUGCUAUCGACAGUUGGGGUGACCUUAGGGUUAAUUCCGGCAAGUAGUGAGACCCCUGCAGAUAGUGGACAGGUAUUUUUAAGAUACAGGAAGGAAGGGACAAGAGCAGGUCAGUGAUGCCCUUAGAUGGCCUGGGCUGCACGCGCACUACAGUGGUCAUUAUAAGUAGAAGUUAGAUAUAAAGAUGAUCGAGAGGGACUGAGCUUUGUAAGAGGCUCACGAACGAGGAAUUGCUAGUAAUCGUAGGCUCAUUAAGAUACGAUGAAUAUGUCCCUGUACCUUGUACACACCGCCCGUCGUUAUCGAAGAUGGAAUUGUGUGCGAACGAGCAUUAAGCGAGUGAGCGCAUAGUUCUAGAUGUGAUAAAAGUCGUAACAAGGCAACUGUAGGAGAACCUGUAGUUGGAUCAUACAGAUUGUUUAUUUAAAAAGUUUUAAUUCUAAUUCCUUACGCAAGGGAUCGUUUGGUUCUAUGUACGAUGAAGGUCGAAACUGUAUUCGAUAAAAUAGGAUGAACGUAAAAAAUGUCCUAUAUUACUGAAUAGAGUAGCGAUGCUCGAAUACUCCUUUGAAUUAAGCAUAUGAGUAAAGGAAGGAGAAGAAACUAACAAGGAUUCUCUUAUUAGUGGCGAAUGAACAGAGAACAGCCCUAAGUGUAAUCAAAUUCAUGUAAUUUGAGAUGUCAGGCAUUGAAUAGUGUGAAUAUACUGGAAAGUAUAGCCCAAGAGAGUUAUAGCCUCGUAGCACUAUAUGAUAGGGAUGAGUAGUUGUGCUCGGUAAUGCACAAUGAAAUAGGUGGUAGUGUCCAUCUAAGGCUAAAUAUGACAUAGAAACCGAUAGUGGAAAAGUAAAGUGAUCGAAAAUGGAAUAGA
rnacentral:rRNA from 1 species